rnacentral:lncRNA from 10 species
AAAAUUCACGGUUUCAUGGAAGGGAGGAAUGGGAUCUUGGAAGAACACAAAGAUAGCUUCUCAACUUGAGUGCGAUGUUGGGGAAGCAGCCCACGGCUGAUCUAGAGGCUCAACACCGUCACCAAGACCAGGCCCCAUGAGUAGUCCUGCCCCGCCGUCCUCAGAGUGAGGCUCCUGUGCUGGGAUCACAGGAUGGCUGCUGUGCUCCCAGCAUUUCCAGGGGCCAAGAUGGGAGGAAGAAGAUGGACGGCAGAGGAAGGACAGAGGCCAAAGGCACAAGCGAGCAUUGUCAGAUCACCAAAAAGAUUUUUUUGCUUUAAGCCCCACCCCUAGUGACUUCUGAUUCCAUCCAAACACCCAAAAUUGGGUCAUAUGUCCCCCGCUUAGCUAUUAAGGUAUCUGUAGAGUUAGAUACUUUUCAGUAGGUAUUGACAUACAAGGGUGCUCUUAGGAAGUAGAGAAGAAUGAACAUUGACUAAGCAAUUAGCUGUUUCUGCCACAAUGUUGUGAUUUUACUGACUUUUAUUGCUUGUGGUAGAACCUUACAUUGCAUGGACUGGUUCUGGAUUUCUUCUAUUUCACGUACACAGGAAGGAUACUUCCACACUCCCUUGAAGUCAGGCACAACCAGUGCCUGCCUGCAGCUAAUGAAGGGUGGGCAGAAACGAUGUGUGUAGCUCCCAGGCUGAAGUACCUAAUGCAGUGCCUGACUGAGCCCUGCCUUCCCCACCACAGCAAUCAUGGAAAUAAGUGUCAAGUUGGAGCGGUCUUAGAGUGAUAAAUACAAGCCAAGCUCUCCCACAACCCACAGUAGAUGGAGCACUUGAGCAAGAAGCAAACCUUUGUUCUUUUAGCCCCCAGGACUUGGGGCUUGUUUGUUAUCAUCAAACCUGGCCUAUCCUGACUGGUACAAAUUGGCAGUAAUUUCUCCAGUGUCCUCAAUUAAAUUUUACAUCCUGGAAUGACACUGGUUUAGAUGAAAAGAUAAGUAUAGGGGCAUAAGGAGGAAGAAGAUUUGAGGAGUUAAAGUGGCUUUUUGAAGAGGAUACGGAAGAAGAUGAGGACCCCUACUAAGGAAGGUCCCUAUUGAUGGGAAGCAGUUAUCCAUCAUGGAGAAGCUGGGCCCUCCUCCAUCCUAAUAAGCCCUAAUAAACUGAUUUUUACUGUUUGUUUUGAAAUAAUUUUAGACUUACAAAAAUGUCACACCAAUAGUCCAAAGGAUCCUCCCUCGACUUCAUUCAAAGCACAAUCUCCUGCUUUUCCUCCUGCUGAUCAGGAAAUGUCUCUGCUUUCUUGGCAAGCUCAUCCUUCUUUACGUACAGUUGGAAUGUUAGAGCUCCUCAAGGCGGCCCCCAGGCCCCCUUCUCUGUGCCAUCUGCACUCUGUCCUCAGAAGAACUAGUGUGCACCCAGGCCUUUGGUUACCGCACAGCAUGGUAGUGACUCGCAAACAUGUACCUUGAGCCAGACCACUCCUCACAUUUCCAAGCUUUUGUCUGCAUAUUGUCCUUGGUAUAUCUAGUAAUAUCCAAUUGUAUACUUAAUAUUGGCUCUUCUCUGGCUCAAAUGAACCUCACAGUAAAGUCCCAAACAGAACUUAUUCCUUUCCCCAUCUACCCACA